CAAGCAAAUCAGGAUGGCCGCUCCGGCGCCUUUGGCGUCGGAGAGGAAAGUCCGAGCUCCGAAGGAUAAUGCAUCCCGGUAAUGCGGGACGGCGCCGCAAAACGGCGACCAGGAUCAGAGCCACAGUGACGAUGCCGCUGCGUAGCCCAACGCGAAAGCAUUUGGGCGAAGCAGGGGAGUGAAACGGGCAAUCUCUGCAUGGAGCAAUGCCAAAUAGGGGAAGACCUUGACGUGACUUAAUGUCACGUCAAGUGCGAGGUCAUCCGCCUCGCUAUUAUUCCCGGGUAGGCUGCCAGAUAUCCCGCCGCAAGGCGGGAUGUUAGUCAAAUGGCCAUCCCUCGUAAAGCCCGUGAUGGCGAAAGCCAUUUUACGGGCCACGAGGCACAGAACUCGGCUUAUGAUUUGCUAAUGAG
rnacentral:RNase_P_RNA from 1 species